rnacentral:rRNA from 1 species
GAUGAACGCUGGCGGCGUGCCUAAUACAUGCAAGUCGAGCGAAUGGAUUAAGAGCUUGCUCUUAUGAAGUUAGCGGCGGACGGGUGAGUAACACGUGGGUAACCUGCCCAUAAGACUGGGAUAACUCCGGGAAACCGGGGCUAAUACCGGAUAACAUUUUGAACCGCAUGGUUCGAAAUUGAAAGGCGGCUUCGGCUGUCACUUAUGGAUGGACCCGCGUCGCAUUAGCUAGUUGGUGAGGUAACGGCUCACCAAGGCAACGAUGCGUAGCCGACCUGAGAGGGUGAUCGGCCACACUGGGACUGAGACACGGCCCAGACUCCUACGGGAGGCAGCAGGAGGGAAUCUUCCGCAAUGGACGAAAGUCUGACGGAGCAACGCCGCGGGAGGGAUGAAGGCUUUCGGGUCGUAAAACUCUGUUGUUAGGGAAGAACAAGUGCUAGUUGAAUAAGCUGGCACCUUGACGGUACCUAACCAGAAAGCCACGGCUAACUACGUG